rnacentral:lncRNA from 1 species
UGAAGGAGAAGCGGCCGGAAGUUGGAUGAGGAUUGGGUGAAUGACCCUGGGUGGUGCGAGGACGAGUCAGACGUGGUGGGACAGGGGUGAGCAAGGCUUCUCUGUAAGUCUUCGUAAGGUGUGGUGGGGGCAGAGUUGCAGGAGGUGGGAGCGGGGUUGUAGAGUGGUAGCUGCUGUAAUGUCCGGUUGUCCGAAGAUUGUCUCCGGGCCUCGGAAU